rnacentral:rRNA from 1 species
UACAGAGGUCUCAAGCGUUGUUCGGAUUCAUUGGGCGUAAAGGGUGCGUAGGCGGCGCGGUAAGUCGGGUGUGAAAUCUCGGGGCUUAACUCCGAAACUGCAUUCGAUACUGCUGUGCUUGAGGACUGGAGAGGAGACUGGAAUUUACGGUGUAGCGGUGAAAUGCGUAGAUAUCGUAAGGAAGACCAGUGGCAAAGGCGGGUCUCUGGACAGUUCCUGACGCUGAGGCACGAAGGUCAGGGGAGCAAACGGG